ACGCGACGAGCUAAGUCUCGUUUGGCUGACCAAGAUGGCGGCUUGAGCGGACGUUAGUUUUCAACCUGUUGCGCCAAAUUUUUUGAAAUGCCGUGGAAACGGUCUGAUUAAAUGCUACUUUUGAAAUUAUUACUGUUACAGACCAAAAAGGAAACAAAACCAGCUGUUCAAUGCUAUCUCUAAGGAGAGCAAAGCCAUGGCUAGCAGCAGCAGUGCUGUUAGCGGUGUUAGCAUGAGUAGACCCAGAAGGCUAAUGCUGAACAAGACACUGUCAUCCCGGACGAAGAAGAGUCUCCACUCCUGCCUCACGGUGAGAGGAGAAGCAGCGGUUGUGAUGAUGACAUCGUUGAUGUUCUUUCAAACCUGAUUAACACCGGCUUGGAUGCCACGGAGAAACUGAUUCAUGACAACUCGCUAAAAUUGUGGACAUCACUUGGGAAGACUGAUAGAAAACGAAAACAAACCGAGAGGAAUCAUUCUCCAGUUUUCGUCCAGAACCUACCGAGACGCCGUGUGGAAAGCCGCGAAAAAUAAUCCCAUCCUACAGGAGCGCCAUCUCCGCUUCACCGAGGACCUGUGUACGGCGGAGCGGGAAAGCAGAGCAGCGCCGAGGCUUUGAUCCAAGCAGGAGAAGAGAGGGGGAGUCGCCUACUACGCGGGUGGGCGUGGCUACAUCAAUGUUACUACCGGUUGAAAAUGCAACAUCAAUCAAGAGAAAAUGAGUAAUGCUGACCAGGGAGCGUCCCGUUGUUGGCGAUAUAUCCUGCAAGAUCCAAUGGCUUGUUGUCAAUGUGGAGCUCUUUCAUGCAGCCAAUAAACUCCCUGGUGCCAAAUGGGAAGUUGUCUGGCACAUUGGGAACUCCACCCAGGAAUAAUGGACCUGUCAGAUCCAGAGACCUGCAAAAAACAAAAAAAACAAAAAAA